rnacentral:rRNA from 1 species
GUUUGAUCCUGGCUCAGGACGAACGCUGGCGGCGUGCCUAACACAUGCAAGUCGAGCGGAGAUGCAGCAAUGUAUCUUAGCGGCGGACGGGUGAGUAACACGUGGGUAACCUGCCUCAUAGAGGGGGAUAGCCACCCGAAAGGGUGAUUAAUACCGCAUGAUGCGGAGCUUGGGCAUCCAGGCACCGUUAAAGGAGCCGGCUUUGAAAGAAGCCACAUCCGCUAUGAGAUGGACCCGCGGCCCAUUAGCUAGUUGGUGAGAUAGCAGCCCACCAAGGCGACGACGGGUAGCCGAUCUGAGAGGAUGAACGGCCACAUUGGAACUGAGACACGGUCCAGACUCCUACGGGAGGCAGCAGUGGGGAAUAUUGCGCAAUGGGGGAAACCCUGACGCAGCAACGCCGCGUGAGUGAAGAAGGCCUUCGGGUCGUAAAGCUCUUUAAUCAGGGAUGAUAAUGACAGUACCUGAGGAAUAAGCCACGGCUAACUACGUGCCAGCAGCCGCGGUAAUACGUAGGUGGCGAGCGUUGUCCGGAAUUACUGGGCGUAAAGGGUGCGUAGGCGGAAACUUAAGUCAGAUGUGAAAGCCCGGGGCUUAACUUCGGGAUUGCAUUUGAAACUGAGUUUCUAGAGUGCAGGAGAGGAAAGCGGAAUUCCUAGUGUAGCGGUGAAAUGCGUAGAUAUUAGGAAGAACACCAGUGGCGAAGGCGGCUUUCUGGACUGUAACUGACGCUGAUGCACGAAAGCGUGGGGAGCAAACAGGAUUAGAUACCCUGGUAGUCCACGCUGUAAACGAUGAGUGCUAGGUGUAGGGGGUAUCGACACCCUCUGUGCCGCAGCAAACGCAAUAAGCACUCCGCCUGGGGAGUACGGUCGUAAGACUAAAACUCAAAGGAAUUGACGGGGGCCCGCACAAGCAGCGGAGCAUGUGGUUUAAUUCGAAGCAACGCGAAGAACCUUACCAGGGCUUGACAUCUAACAAAUCCUUCAGAGAUGAGGGAGUGCCCUUCGGGGAAUGUUAAGACAGGUGGUGCAUGGUUGUCGUCAGCUCGUGUCGUGAGAUGUUGGGUUAAGUCCCGCAACGAGCGCAACCCUUGUCAUUAGUUGCUAACAUUAAGUUGAGCACUCUAAUGAGACUGCCGGGGACAACUCGGAGGAAGGUGGGGAUGACGUCAAAUCAUCAUGCCCCUUAUGUCCUGGGCUACACACGUGCUACAAUGGCUAGAACAAUGAGAAGCAAAACUGCGAAGUGGAGCAAAUCUAAAAAACUAGUCCCAGUUCGGAUUGAUGGCUGCAACCCGCCAUCAUGAAGCCGGAGUUGCUAGUAAUCGCGAAUCAGCAUGUCGCGGUGAAUACGUUCCCGGGCCUUGUACACACCGCCCGUCACACCAUGAGAGUCUGCAACACCCGAAGCCUGUGAGCUAACUAUAUGAGGCAGCAGUCGAAGGUGGGGCCGAUGAUUGGGGUGAAGUCGUAACAAGGUAGCCGUAUCAGAAGGUGCGGCUGGAUCACCUCCUUUCU